UGCCUCUCUAUAUCUUUACAUUAAAAAAAAUCAUGCACCUUCCUCUCCAGACCUUAGACCCAGCCAGGCAACCUAAGCACUGCCCCCACACCCCCACUCCUGCCAGAGGAGGCCUGGGGCUUACCCGUGUCCCUCUACUUCUCCUGGUGGACUUGGCUCUCGGGGAAAGCAGCACCUGGGGUGACUUUGACUUUCUGCAGCAGGGAAGGAGCAUUUUGGAGAGCCGUCUGUUGCGGACCUUUAUUUCUGACAAUCAGAAGACUCCCAGGCUCCAGGCUUGGUUCUUAUGCCUGUAAAACCUGGCGAUGGUGCUGGGCCUGGGUUCUCGCUGGGCCAGCAGGCAUUGCAGGCUGUCACCUCCCUCAGGCUUCACCCCAGCUGUUACUGCGGGGCUUAGGCUGGGCAAGCCCAGAGAUACACAGAUGAACAAAUGGAAAGCUUGAUGAGAAGUGAGGAUUUCUAUAGUAGCCAUCCACGAAAUAGUUAAAGGAAAGAGAGUCUUCAUGGUGGAAAAGCCUGAACCAGCUGGUCCAGGCAAACCUCAGUGAUGGUGAAGCCUGUAGCACACAGCGGGUGGGAUGAAGAGAGCCGCAUCCGCGAUACUCCUGCCGAAGAUGCCUGUCCUGGAUCUCCCCAUGUGGAAGCACCAGCCCCCAAGUUAGGGGACUGAUUGGACAAUGCACCUGCCUAGAAUCUUCCCAAAGCCUGGUGUCGUGAGAGUCACGGAAACAUCCAGAAACUCGCUCUGGGCAGCGGGAAGCUGAGAGCCGACCACUUUCUUGCAGUGUGCCUGUGCAAACUGGGUAAUUGGGGAUGGCUAGAGAAACUUGAACAGGGUCUGAGCUGGGACAGGAGGAAUGCGUUGGUUUUCUGAUUUUGAUGGCUUAGGUGUUUAUGGAGGAAAAUAGACUUGUUUGUUGGAAAUCCCCCCUGAAGUGUCUGGGAUUACGCAUCAGGUCAGUGAUUCACCAUUAGAUAAUCCAAGGAGAGAGAAUUAUUUUAAACGUACUUGUACAUUUUCUAUAACUUUGUGAUUGUUUGAAAGUUAAGUAACACAAAUAAUUUGUGUCCUCAUCCUAAAGCUUUCUUCUGUCAUAGAGGAUUGUUUAUCUGAGACAUAUGAGUAUAAUGGUAUUGUUUCAAAAUAUUUUUUAAGAUUACACCUGUUUUUAAAAAUUGUGUCAGAUAGCCUGUAUUCAUGUAUUGGAAGAUUCAAUAUUAUUAAAAUGGUAGUUCUCCCCA